UGAGUACGAGCUGCUACGGCAGCGAAGUGGGUGAUGUCAUGCUUCCAAGAAAAGCCCUAUACCCGUUAAGGCAUGAUGGCCUGUACCCGAAACCGACACAGGUGGGGUGGUAGAGAAUACCGAGGGGCGCGAGGUAACUCUCUCUAAGGAACUCGGCAAAAUGGCCCCGUAACUUCGGGAGAAGGGGUGCCACCGCAAGGUGGUCGCAGUGAAGAGGCCCAGGCGACUGUUUACCAAAAACACAGGUCUCCGCUAAGUCGCAAGACGAUGUAUGGGGGCUGACGCCCGCCCAGUGCCUGAAGGUUAAGGAAGCUGGUCAGCGUAAGCGAAGCUAGCGACUGAAGCCCCGGUGAACGGCGGCCAUAACUAUAACGGUCCUAAGGUAGCGAGAUUCCUUGUCGGGUAAGUUCCGACCCGCACGAAAGGCGUAACGAUCUGGGCGCUGUCUCGGAGAGAGGCUCGGCGAAAUAGAAUUGUCUGUGAAGAUGCGGACUACGUGCACCCGGACAGAAAGACCCUAUGAAGCUUUACUGUAGCUUGGUAUUGUGCUCGGGCUCGGAAUGCGCAGGAUAGGUGGGAGGCUAUGAACCAUUGCUUGUGGGUGAUGGUGAGCCACUGGUGAGAUACCACUCUUUCCGAGCUAGAGUUCUAACAGCCACCCGUUAUCCGGGGGCUGGACAGUAUCAGGUGGGCAGUUUGACUGGGGCGGUCGCCUCCUAAAAGGUAACGGAGGCGCGCAAAGGUUUGCUCAGGCUGGUUGGAAAUCAGCCGACGAGUGUAAAAGCAGAAGCAAGCUUGACUGUGAGACCUACAAGUCGAACAGGGAGGAAACUCGGCUUUAGUGAUCCGACGGUUCUGCGUGGAAGGGCCGUCGCUCAACGGAUAAAAGUUACUCUAAGGAUAACAGGCUGAUCUCCCCCAAGAGUUCACAUCGACGGGGAGGUUCGGCACCUCGAUGUCGGCUCAUCGCAACCUGGGGCUGAAGUCGGUCCCAAGGGUUGGGCUGUUCGCCCAUUAAAGCGGUACGCGAGCUGGGUUCAGAACGUCGUGAGACAGUUCGGUCCAUAUCCGGUGCAUGCGCAGGAAUAUUGAGAGGAUUUCUCCCUAGUACGAGAGGACCGGGAGGAACGCACCUCUGGUGUACCAGUUAUCGUGCCAACGGUAAACGCUGGGUAGCCAUGUGCGGAGAGGAUAACCGCUGAAAGCAUCUAAGUGGGAAGCCCACCUCAAGAUGAGUAUUCCCAUGGGGUAACCCAGUAAGGUCACGGGAAGAACACCCGUUGAUAGGCUCUACGUGGAAGCGCAGUAAUGUGUGAAGCGGAGGAGUACUAAUAGACCGAGGGCUUGAC
rnacentral:rRNA from 1 species